UUAACUUAUCAUAUAUAAUAGUGAGAAUCUUAGUAGGCUAUAUAUAUUUCCAGUUUUCUUAAGUUUUAUUUGAAAAAAAUGGAGAAUAGCUAUAAAUAUUGAUCUUGUGAUAUUUUAAAUUAGAGCUAAAUAGCGCGCGCAGAAUGUAUGUAGGUAGCACUGGUUCUGCGCCAUGGCCAUUUUGAUCUAUAUAAGUUGAAAGAGAAAGUGUUUGCUCGCUGGCUGUUUGCUCUUCUUUCUUCUUUCUUCGGUCUUUACUUCUUUGUGGCUAUCUUGAAAACGUUGAAUCCUAGAAUUCUUGAAAAACGUGGAAUCCAUAAAUUGCAAAGAAUUCAGAAAAUAAGUUCUUCAACAAUUAGCUCUUCUGAGAGCUACUACUAACAGCAACCGAGACAUGUUGGAAUCAAUAUUGAAAUCUCAAAAUCAAAAUACAGACCCCUGGUCAAACCAGCAGCAUGAUGAAAUCAACUUUGAUCCGGCACGAUUGCCAAUGAAGACUGAGGAGAGUCUGCUCAAAAUAGAAGAGGAGCUGAGAGAUAAUCAUUCCAAAAAUAACAUGGUAAGAUAUACUUUGUUGGUACAACUUCAGAUUUCAAUUUUCAGUUUAAUGUACAAGUAAAUCUGCAACUGGUGUUCAAUUUUUUAAACAAUAUUAGUUUUUUAAACUUGAAGUUUCUCCAAACUAAACUGUAUAAGAUAUUAUUGUCAGGAGAAAUGCUUGGAUCUUAUGGACAUACUGAUGUUAAAACCAUUAAAAAAUAAAAUUAUUAUGUUUGAUGUUACUAUGUUAAAGUAAAGAAGUUUUUACUAGUUUUUU